rnacentral:lncRNA from 1 species
GUAUAAAUAUCAUUUCUCUAUGCAAAAACACUUGGAAUUUGCUUUGUAUUCACUUAAGAAGGUUCCACAGUUCACCAAACUGCUCCAAAUCGUAGUGUGAUCCCUUCUAAGACCCAAAGCACAUUUAGCGGUUGCUUCUACACAUUACUUUUGAUUCCAAGUAUUUAAGCAAAAAUGAAACACAAACGAAUCAUUAUAGAGAAAAUAAUUCUCAUUUGUGUUGACACCUUAGACUACCAUUCAUAUGCCGUGCACAAGAAAUGAAAAUAGAAGUAAAUAAAGUAUAUUAUUGAUAUUUAUGUUCUUAAAAAAAUUAGGGUUAAAUAUGUUUUUGGUCCUUAUAAAUAUACCAACUUUUUGUUUUAGUUCCUCUAAAAUUUUCCUUCAACUUUUGGUUCCUUAAAAAUUUUCCAUCUUCACUUUUGAUCCCUCCUUUAAAGUAAACUCAUAUUUAGAAUUCAUAUUUUUGAAUAAAAUUUUGCAGAAAAAUUCAUAAUAUUGUAAGAAUCACUCCCAAAAAAAUUAGAAUUUUUUAACAAAACAUGAAUUUAAUAUAAAUUUUUAUAUUUUUGAAGGUUAAAAAUUCAUAUUUAAUUUAUGUUAUGUUAAAAAAUUCUAAUUUUUUUUUUUUUGAAAAAUAUUUUUACAAUAUUCUACACAUAUCUCCAUAAUUUUAUUAAAAAAUAUCAAAAUUAACUUUAAAAUAGGGACCAAAAUAGUGAUAGAAAAUUUUAUAGGGACUAAAAAUUGAAGGAAAAUUUUAGAGGGACUAAAACGAAAAGUUGGUAUAUUUAUAGGGACUAAAAACAUAUUUAACCCAAAAAUUUAUUCACAUUUAGGAAGUAAUCUCAAUUAUUCACAUGCUCAUGAAAUCAAACAUUAGUUCAUCGGUGCAUACAACAAUUUUUUAAAAGGAAUUACACCAUUCACUUUUUUUUUUCAUAGGACAAUCGCAGUUUAUUUCAACGAACUCGAGUAAGCAACUCUCCUUGCUUAUUAGUCAUCCAAUUGGAAAUGAUACUUAACAAAAUGCACAGCUGUUAGAAGGAUAUUAUUAAGCAUUUAAAAAUGUUAAUCCACCUAAAUACCUUAUUUUUCUUGUUAGGUGAACACAAUGAUAUCCAUAAAAUUUUGUUUGUUGUAUUUUUAUAUUAACUGAUUUUAAAAUAAAUUCAUAUGUUAAACAAAUUUCGAGAUAUGGGUAUACAAUCAUAAUCAAUAUAAGUAAAUAAUUUAGCUAAUUUUUUUUAAAUGAAUAUAAACACCCAUCAAGCACGAGUUCAUAGAUGCAUAUAACUAUAUCUUUUUAAGGAAAUUAUUAAACCAUCAUUUUAUUUUUUAAGAAUUAUUACAUUUUAUUUGAAGAUACUUACGUCAUCAACUCUCGAUGCUGAUGCUAAGAGCAUGAUUAUCGGUUCAAUUUUACCGUGUCUUUACUGAAGCAAAAUGCAAUGUAUCAGAAAGGGACAUAUAUUUGGCAUGGUAAGAGAGUAGCAAAACUCAUCAAAGUGGCACUGCAUUGCUACCGUGGUUUUACUGAUUGUUGGAUUUAUAAACCAUUAUAAAAUUAACUUAUGAUUUGAAAAGGUGUUAUAUGUUAAUAUAAAGGGUUAAUUAAGUUUUUAGUCCCUAUAAAUAUUCACAGUUUUGUUUUUAGUUCCUAUAAAAUAAAAUCACACUUUUUAGUCCCUGUGAUAUUUUCCUUAAGCAUUUUAGGGACUAAAAAUUCUGAUGGAAAAAUUUUAUAGGGACUAAAAAUGCUUAUGAAAAAUUUUAUAAGGACUAAAAAUGUUAAUGGAAAAUUUUAUAAGGACUAAAAAGUGUGAUUUUAUUUUGUGGAGACUAAAAACAAAAUUCUGAAUAUUUAUAGGGACUAAAAACUUAAUUAACCCUAAUAUAAAAUACAAUCGUGAGGUAUAUUGUGGGACCCACUUUAAAGUUUUAGACGGGUAGUAUAAAUAUUUAAAAAAUGUAAGAGAGUGGUUUAAAUAAUUGGAAAGUGUAAAAUAAUAUAUUGUAUAUUAUAUGAGAUCAAUUUUUACCACCCAAUUUUUAUUAAUGUUGAUGCUUUAAUAAGAACAGAAAAUAUUUAUAUUUCGUAUAAAAUGUGAUGAAAAAUAUCCUUAAAUUAAAUUUAUUAUAUAUAAAAAAAAAAAAAAUUCAAUUUUGGCCAAAUGGAUGACGACCGAUCCAAUAUUUAACCACAACACAAUAUUUAAACAUAUAUGUGGCCGAAUGGAAAGCGUCUAGAACAUUUCAAUAAACAACUCCAACUACUCGACAACAACAUGGUAACGUGUUCCUCAAAACAAAAACAAAAAAUGAUAAUGUGUCUUGGACGAAAUCAAAUGCAGAAAGAUACAAAUGCAAUGUUGUUGCAUCCUUUGCAAAACACCUAAACAAGGUUUUAAUAGAUAUGUUGUUAGAGAUGAGCAUGGUACUUUCGUCUAUGCCAAAUUUGAGUGGUUUAGUUCCAUUUAUAUGGCGACAAGUAAUUGAGAUUGCUCGUAAGUUAACUAAGACCGCCUCAUUAUAGGUUAGUUUCUAAUUAUUGUUUGAAAUAUUAGAUUGUAUUAAACACAAUUUGAUUAAUGAAAUGUUAUAAAUUUGUUUCUCUAAAAAAAAUUAUUCAAUUUAGAUCAUGAUCUUGUAAUAUAUGAGUGAUGAAUUCCAACAUAAACAAAAUUUUCAAGAACCAAAAUAAAACACACAAAUCAUAAAAGUCAACAUACCUACAAACAGGAGGCAGUUCUUGUGGAUCAAGAGGUUCAGGACCCAUCACACAAGAUAGUGUGUCUCUCCAAUUAGCAAACUUUGACUGAUAUAGAUCAAAGUUGGAUCUAUACACCACUCUCUUCACUUUGUGCCCAUCCCUAGUGAAAUACUCAGCCUUCAUCUCCUGUGGAAGCUCGUGGAACUCACGCACUGCCGCCAUCAUCUCCUCCAAUAGCUUCACCGGUAUUCCAUGAUUCACCACCUGGAAAAACCCAGCUGUUCCAGCUGCCUGUCGGAUUACCGCA